rnacentral:rRNA from 1 species
CGAGAGCUUGCUUCUCUGAUGUUAGCGGCGGACGGGUGAGUAACACGUGGAUAACCUACCUAUAAGACUGGGAUAACUUCGGGAAACCGGAGCUAAUACCGGAUAAUAUUUUGAACCGCAUGGUUCAAAAGUGAAAGACGGUCUUGCUGUCACUUAUAGAUGGAUCCGCGCUGCAUUAGCUAGUUGGUAAGGUAACGGCUUACCAAGGCAACGAUGCAUAGCCGACCUGAGAGGGUGAUCGGCCACACUGGAACUGAGACACGGUCCAGACUCCUACGGGAGGCAGCAGUAGGGAAUCUUCCGCAAUGGGCGAAAGCCUGACGGAGCAACGCCGCGUGAGUGAUGAAGGUCUUCGGAUCGUAAAACUCUGUUAUUAGGGAAGAACAUAUGUGUAAGUAACUGUGCACAUCUUGACGGUACCUAAUCAGAAAGCCACGGCUAACUACGUGCCAGCAGCCGCGGUAAUACGUAGGUGGCAAGCGUUAUCCGGAAUUAUUGGGCGUAAAGCGCGCGUAGGCGGUUUUUUAAGUCUGAUGUGAAAGCCCACGGCUCAACCGUGGAGGGUCAUUGGAAACUGGAAAACUUGAGUGCAGAAGAGGAAAGUGGAAUUCCAUGUGUAGCGGUGAAAUGCGCAGAGAUAUGGAGGAACACCAGUGGCGAAGGCGACUUUCUGGUCUGUAACUGACGCUGAUGUGCGAAAGCGUGGGGAUCAAACAGGAUUAGAUACCCUGGUAGUCCACGCCGUAAACGAUGAGUGCUAAGUGUUAGGGGGUUUCCGCCCCUUAGUGCUGCAGCUAACGCAUUAAGCACUCCGCCUGGGGAGUACGACCGCAAGGUUGAAACUCAAAGGAAUUGACGGGGACCCGCACAAGCGGUGGAGCAUGUGGUUUAAUUCGAAGCAACGCGAAGAACCUUACCAAAUCUUGACAUCCUUUGACAACUCUAGAGAUAGAGCCUUCCCCUUCGGGGGACAAAGUGACAGGUGGUGCAUGGUUGUCGUCAGCUCGUGUCGUGAGAUGUUGGGUUAAGUCCCGCAACGAGCGCAACCCUUAAGCUUAGUUGCCAUCAUUAAGUUGGGCACUCUAAGUUGACUGCCGGUGACAAACCGGAGGAAGGUGGGGAUGACGUCAAAUCAUCAUGCCCCUUAUGAUUUGGGCUACACACGUGCUACAAUGGACAAUACAAAGGGCAGCGAAACCGCGAGGUCAAGCAAAUCCCAUAAAGUUGUUCUCAGUUCGGAUUGUAGUCUGCAACUCGACUACAUGAAGCUGGAAUCGCUAGUAAUCGUAGAUCAGCAUGCUACGGUGAAUACGUUCCCGGGUCUUGUACACACCGCCCGUCACACCACGAGAGUUUGAACACCCGAA